GUACUAAUGAAGAGUCCCAAAGUGGGACGAAACGGCUGUCCAAUAC
rnacentral:hammerhead_ribozyme from 1 species